ACUGAUCAGCAUGCCGCGUGUGUGAGAAGGCCUUCGGGUUGUAAAGCUCUUUUGUCCGGAAAGAAAUCCUUGGAUCUAAUACCUUCCGGGGAUGACGGUACCGGAAGAAUAAGCACCGGCUAACUUCGUGCCAGCAGCCGCGGUAAUACGUAGGGUGCAAGCGUUAAUCGGAAUUACUGGGCGUAAAGCGUGCGCAGGCGGUUUGCUAAGACCGAUGUGAAAUCCCCGGGCUCAACCUGGGAACUGCAUUGGAGACUGGCAAGCUAGAGUACGGCAGAGGGGGGUGGAAUUCCACGUGUAGCAGUGAAAUGCGUAGAGAUGUGGAGGAACACCGAUGGCGAAGGCAGCCCCCUGGGCCAAUACUGACGCUGAUGCACGAAAGCGUGGGGAGCAAACAGGAUUAGAUACCCCAGUAGUCAA
rnacentral:rRNA from 1 species